rnacentral:rRNA from 1 species
GAGGAGCCCAGAGCCUGAAUCAGUGUGUGUGUUAGUGGAAGCGUCUGGAAAGGCGUGCGAUACAGGGUGACAGCCCCGUACACAAAAAUGCACAUACUGUGAGCUCGAUGAGUAGGGCGGGACACGUGGUAUCCUGUCUGAAUAUGGGGGGACCAUCCUCCAAGGCUAAAUACUCCUGACUGACCGAUAGUGAACCAGUACCGUGAGGGAAAGGCGAAAAGAACCCCGGCGAGGGGAGUGAAAAAGAACCUGAAACCGUGUACGUACAAGCAGUGGGAGCCUCUUAAUGGGGUGACUGCGUACCUUUUGUAUAAUGGGUCAGCGACUUAUAUUCUGUAGCAAGGUUAACCGAAUAGGGGAGCCGAAGGGAAACCGAGUCUUAACUGGGCGUUAAGUUGCAGGGUAUAGACCCGAAACCCGGUGAUCUAGCCAUGGGCAGGUUGAAGGUUGGGUAACACUAACUGGAGGACCGAACCGACUAAUGUUGAAAAAUUAGCGGAUGACUUGUGGCUGGGGGUGAAAGGCCAAUCAAACCGGGAGAUAGCUGGUUCUCCCCGAAAGCUAUUUAGGUAGCGCCUCGUGAAUUCAUCUCCGGGGGUAGAGCACUGUUUCGGCAAGGGGGUCAUCCCGACUUACCAACCCGAUGCAAACUGCGAAUACCGGAGAAUGUUAUCACGGGAGACACACGGCGGGUGCUAACGUCCGUCGUGAAGAGGGAAACAACCCAGACCGCCAGCUAAGGUCCCAAAGUCAUGGUUAAGUGGGAAACGAUGUGGGAAGGCCCAGACAGCCAGGAUGUUGGCUUAGAAGCAGCCAUCAUUUAAAGAAAGCGUAAUAGCUCACUGGUCGAGUCGGCCUGCGCGGAAGAUGUAACGGGGCUAAACCAUGCACCGAAGCUGCGGCAGCGACACUAUGUGUUGUUGGGUAGGGGAGCGUUCUGUAAGCCUGUGAAGGUGUACUGUGAGGUAUGCUGGAGGUAUCAGAAGUGCGAAUGCUGACAUAAGUAACGAUAAAGCGGGUGAAAAGCCCGCUCGCCGGAAGACCAAGGGUUCCUGUCCAACGUUAAUCGGGGCAGGGUGAGUCGACCCCUAAGGCGAGGCCGAAAGGCGUAGUCGAUGGGAAACAGGUUAAUAUUCCUGUACUUGGUGUUACUGCGAAGGGGGGACGGAGAAGGCUAUGUUGGCCGGGCGACGGUUGUCCCGGUUUAAGCGUGUAGGCUGGUUUUCCAGGCAAAUCCGGAAAAUCAAGGCUGAGGCGUGAUGACGAGGCACUACGGUGCUGAAGCAACAAAUGCCCUGCUUCCAGGAAAAGCCUCUAAGCAUCAGGUAACAUCAAAUCGUACCCCAAACCGACACAGGUGGUCAGGUAGAGAAUACCAAGGCGCUUGAGAGAACUCGGGUGAAGGAACUAGGCAAAAUGGUGCCGUAACUUCGGGAGAAGGCACGCUGAUAUGUAGGUGAAGUCCCUCGCGGAUGGAGCUGAAAUCAGUCGAAGAUACCAGCUGGCUGCAACUGUUUAUUAAAAACACAGCACUGUGCAAACACGAAAGUGGACGUAUACGGUGUGACGCCUGCCCGGUGCCGGAAGGUUAAUUGAUGGGGUUAGCGGUAACGCGAAGCUCUUGAUCGAAGCCCCGGUAAACGGCGGCCGUAACUAUAACGGUCCUAAGGUAGCGAAAUUCCUUGUCGGGUAAGUUCCGACCUGCACGAAUGGCGUAAUGAUGGCCAGGCUGUCUCCACCCGAGACUCAGUGAAAUUGAACUCGCUGUGAAGAUGCAGUGUACCCGCGGCAAGACGGAAAGACCCCGUGAACCUUUACUAUAGCUUGACACUGAACAUUGAGCCUUGAUGUGUAGGAUAGGUGGGAGGCUUUGAAGUGUGGACGCCAGUCUGCAUGGAGCCGGCCUUGAAAUACCACCCUUUAAUGUUUGAUGUUCUAACGUUGGCCCCUGACCGGGGUUGCGGACAGUGUCUGGUGGGUAGUUUGACUGGGGCGGUCUCCUCCUAAAGAGUAACGGAGGAGCACGAAGGUUGGCUAAUCCUGGUCGGACAUCAGGAGGUUAGUGCAAUGGCAUAAGCCAGCUUGACUGCGAGCGUGACGGCGCGAGCAGGUGCGAAAGCAGGUCAUAGUGAUCCGGUGGUUCUGAAUGGAAGGGCCAUCGCUCAACGGAUAAAAGGUACUCCGGGGAUAACAGGCUGAUACCGCCCAAGAGUUCAUAUCGACGGCGGUGUUUGGCACCUCGAUGUCGGCUCAUCACAUCCUGGGGCUGAAGUAGGUCCCAAGGGUAUGGCUGUUCGCCAUUUAAAGUGGUACGCGAGCUGGGUUUAGAACGUCGUGAGACAGUUCGGUCCCUAUCUGCCGUGGGCGCUGGAGAACUGAGGGGGGCUGCUCCUAGUACGAGAGGACCGGAGUGGACGCAUCACUGGUGUUCGGGUUGUCAUGCCAAUGGCACUGCCCGGUAGCUAAAUGCGGAAGAGAUAAGUGCUGAAAGCAUCUAAGCACGAAACUUGCCCCGAGAUGAGUUCUCCCUGACUCCUUGAGAGUCCUGAAGGAACGUUGAAGACGACGACGUUGAUAGGCCGGGUGUGUAAGCGCAGCGAUGCGUUGAGCUAACCGGUACUAAUGAACCGUGAGG